UACGUAGGGACCAAGCGUUGUUCGGAUUUACUGGGCGUAAAGGGCGCGUAGGCGGCGUGGUAAGUCACUUGUGAAAUCUCUGAGCUUAACUCAGAGCGGUCAAGUGAUACUGCUGUGCUAGAGUGCGGAAGGGGCAAUCGGAAUUCUUGGUGUAGCGGUGAAAUGCGUAGAUAUCAAGAGGAACACCUGAGGUGAAGACGGGUUGCUGGGCCGACACUGACGCUGAUGCGCGAAAGCCAGGGGAGCAAACGGG
rnacentral:rRNA from 1 species